GGGGUCGAUCGGUUUCGACGGUGACCUGUUCGUCGCAGGGAAGCGUGCCGAGAACGCCGGGUCCGCUCGUGGAUGCCCCCGGCAAAAGAAUAAGUGCUAAAUCUAAUCGCACUGAGUUCGCUCUCGCUGCCUGAUUUUUAGUCAGGAUUAACCAGCGGGCAGCAGCUCCGUUCACUCCCUCUCGUCUUUGGGGGGAUGCUGAGCGUCGUUAAGAAGACUUGCCCGGAUCAUUGCGCCACAGGGUGAUUCGGGGACUUUUACUGUGGAUAUGCCCGCCAUCGGUUGUCUGCGAUAUAGAUGGGGGCAGAAAAACUGCCGCAUGGCCAGCGGACUACGCACGUAGAAGACUGUGGGUACGGUUACCGGACCGGGGUUCAAUUCCCCGCGACUCCACUG
rfam:Bifidobacterium scardovii strain LMG 21589 Contig13, whole genome shotgun sequence.